AUGAGACGUAAGGGGAACUUGCCAGUAGCCUUUUAAAAGGUCAAGUUUACUAAUGACUUCAGAUGAACCAAUACGGUCAAUACAAUCUUCUAGUCGAGGAAGAGGAAAUGAAUCAGGAAUCGUCACAGAGUUUACUUUCCUAUAGUCGGUACAAAAUCGAUAAGUAUUAUCUUGUUUCGGGACCAGUAUGCACGGGGAACACCAUGGGCUAUUACUAGGGAUCGCAAGAUUGUUUUCCACUAAAUAAUCUGUUUCAGCAUUAAGGAGAGCACGUUUGUAGGGGUUAACACGGUAGGGAUGUUGUUUAAUAGGCGAGUGUCCAUCAACAUUAAUGUCAUGUUCCAAGACCGAGGUGCGGGAUGGAACAUCGGAGAACAGUGUCGGGAAUUUACUAAUUAGAGAUCUGAUCUCAGACUGAGCAUCGAAAGGCAAGUGUGACAGUUUUUCAGAGAGUCGCAACAAAGCAUCAGAGUUAGGGAGAUGAGAGCAAGGAACAAUAUUGCGACCUAGAUGAAUGUCAUCACUUUCAGGAGCAUAUUCCAAUAUUGAGGCGACAGCUAACACCUUAGGCGAAGAAGGUGAGGGCAAAGACCCAGAAAGAUCGCCCGUAUCAAUGGAACUGCGAUCAAGGUAGGGUUUCAACAAAUUCACAUGACAUAUGCGAGUCUUACUACGGCGAUCUGGAGUUGCUAAUAUAUAGUUACUGUCAGUUUGCUUUUCAAUUAUUUUAUAGGGACCGGAGAAUCUGGUUUGCAAAGCGGAACCAGCAACAGGUGACCAGAGAGAUGGUGAUCAUGAGCUAAAGACAAAACUAAGGACCUGUAUGGAAGAGGAACCACAAUCUGUUUAACAGUCUCACAUUCACUGCUUGAACUUACAGGAGACCAGGACCUCAUCAAUACUCCAUCCUUAAUAAAGUAUUGUGAACGAC